AGAACUCUCAAUCGACUGAUUCUGACCUUGCACUAUCUCAAUCGCAGAGCAUAUAUUUCCGUCUGAGAUUUGUUCGCUUCUACUCUCCUGGUUCGUACCUCCGCCCAGUGCUCAAAUCGACGGAUCGUGCUCCUCCUGAAAAGGGUUUGUGUAUCUUGGUGAGUUGGUUCAGUUAUUUGCGGUGACUUUUGUUCUUCAAUGAUAUUCUGUUCACUUUGCUGAGAUGACUUCAUCGACAAAAUGUUUGUGCUCAACGCUGAUACAAGGUUGGUCUCAUGCAAUUCAACAUGGUGGUAUCUUACAUUUACUAUUUACUUUCACAACCUUAGAUUGUGUUAAGGAUUGAUGAUUAGUAUUGUUUUGUGGUUUGGUUUGUUUCUGAUUUUGGUUCAUUCUUUGGUCACAUAUUAGGAAUUUUAGGGUUUGCAUUCCUUACUCCUUACUGAUUUUUGAAGCUCCAAGCUUACCACCACUUCCAAGAUCUACGCCCAAUCAACCAAAAUUUCAGGUAUAUUGUGCAUGAAAUUCGUAGAAACAAGAAUACAGUAAAAUCAGAAGAUCUCAAUUGAGAAUUAUUUUCCAAGAAUUUCAUUUGGAGAAUAUGGAGAGGGCCAAUCACAAUGCAAACACGUCAACUAUAGCCUCAAUCGAAUUUGCUCUUUAGGGAUUUUGAGAUCCCAAAACGAACAAGAUCUAGAUGUAAGCAUUUUAUUUAUUCUGUACUUCUUAACUAAAGAUUUUUUUUCCUUUUAUUUAUGUUUUUAACAACAAUUGUUCAAGAUUAGACGCCCUUUAUGUUUAUUCCUAUAUUCAUUGUCUUGCAGUUUUGCUGCUUUUGCAUGCGUUAUGUAGCGAAUUUUUUUACAACCUUGAUGGAAAAAAUUAACCGAACUUUUUACAUAUAUAAUCAUAUAAAUCUCUAUAACUUGAAUGAUUUGCAUUCCAAAAUACAUUGAUGUGAUUGUAUGAGCUAUUAAUUUCACAUCCCAAGGUGUUCGAGGCUAUUUUUUUCCCUUUGAUUUGGGAGUAGGUAAGGUAGGAUAUAUAGAAUUGGUACACCUUUUCUAUCCUAUAUAUAGUAUAGCUAUUUUGUAAUUCCUUAUCCCACUUCUUGAUUUUGCAUCAGUAGCUAUCAUGAUAGGUGAACAAAACUUUCGAACCAGCAACUGCAUUCUAAAUUUUGGGUUGCUAUGACUACUCAGUUGUGUUCCCAAAAACAUUAGCUGUGAAUGUGAGUUUACAUUGAACAAUUAUGUAUGUAACAAUGUACCAUCAACUCAAUGAAUAAGAAUGCCAAUCUAAUUUUCUUAGUAUCAUAGAAAAAAGAGAGGAUUACUGGACUAAUUACAUGAAUGAGAAGGUAUAAGUAUAACACUGAUAUUAUAAUUAUUCUUGCUAAAUAUAGCAAGAUUGUGAGGUACUAAUGCUGAAUUCUCUGGUCAGUGGUACUAAUGUUGUAUGUCCUGGCUCUGGCUAAAUAAUUUUCUUGCUAUUUGGAAUAUCUCGGAAUCUAUGUAAUAUGAGCAGUAAGGGAAAAAUAUACAUCCAAAGUCUCUCUUCAUCAAAUUAGUGUAAGUGCAAAAACCAUCAAGCUCAAAAGAUGAAAUAGAAACAUGACAGAACCCUAAGCUUGAACUCCAAUUGUACUGUAUAUAUCCCCCAUCCCCCCGUGUUGUGUAUGUAAGUGCGUGCUCACUCAUGCUUACAUGAACUUGAUUUGGCUAUAACUUACAAAGAUGUCUGUUUCCUCAAUUCAUUCUUUAGGUGGUGGUAUUGGAGACUUGGGCUGAUGGAAUCGAACUUUGUGUAGUUAAUAAAUUUUGUAUACUUGUCCAAUCUUUUGUUGGUUUGCUUUAUGGCAUUUAAGUGCACCCAGAUGACUCAUUUAAGGAUGAUUUGUGGUUUCUCUUUGAAUUGAGCAUAUAAGGGCUAUGUUGUUUGUUAUUUUUGUUGGGGGUGGGGGGAUAUCCGAAGGCUGUGGAGAGCUUCAAAUCUGGGCUGGAUUUCUCCACAGGGAUUCCUGUGUCUUUUUCUAAUUGCUUUCUAACUGGAUUAGAGAAGCUCUGCAUAGUUGAACUAUUUGAGAGGCUACAUUUAUUUUGUGGCUUAUUUGUUUCAGGCGUAAUAGA